rnacentral:rRNA from 1 species
CGCUGUAUUGUGKCAGCCGCCGCGGUAAUACGGAGGGGGCGAGCGUUGUUCGGAGUCACUGGGCGUAAAGCGCACGUAGGCGGAGUGGUAAGUUCAGGGUCAAAGGGUCCGGCUCAACGGUAGUAAGACGUUAGAUACUAUCAUGCUAGAGUCCCGGAGAGGGUAGCGGAAUUCCCUGUGUAGCGGUGAAAUGCGUAGAUAUAGGGAGGAACNCCGGUUGCGAAGGCGGCUACCUGGCCGGUAACUGACGGUGAGGUGCGAGAGCGUGGGGAGCAAACAGGAUUAGAUACCCGGGUAGUCCUCGCUGUAAACGAUGGUCGCUAGGUGUUGGGGGUGAUGAGCCAUCAGUGCCGAAGCUAACGCGUUAAGCGCCGCCGCCUGAGGAGUACAGC